UGUUUGUUUGCAUGUGUGUGUGUGUGUGUGUGUGUGUGUGUGUGUGCAGGGCACAUCCUCUCCCACAAAUCCUCACUCCCAAACCAG
rnacentral:pre_miRNA from 1 species